GAUGAACGCUAGCGACAGGCCUAACACAUGCAAGUCGAGGGGCAUCGGGGUGUAGCAAUACGCUGCCGGCGACCGGCGGAUGGGUGAGUAACGCGUAUGCAACCUGCCUUCAGCAGGGGGAUAGCCCGUUGAAAGACGGAUUAAUACCCCAUAACACAGGGGCUCCGCAUGGAGAUUAUUGUUAAAGGGAUGCUUCCUUCGGGGAGUAUUCUGGCUGAAGAUGGGCAUGCGUUCCAUUAGGUAGUUGGUUGAGGUAACGGCUCACCAAGCCUGCGAUGGAUAGGGGAACUGAGAGGUUGGUCCCCCACACUGGUACUGAGACACGGACCAGACUCCUACGGGAGGCAGCAGUGAGGAAUCUUGGUCAAUGGACGGAAGUCUGAACCAGCCCUGUCGCGUGAAGGAGGACGGCCCUAAGGGUUGUAAACUUCUUUUGCAGGGGAAUAAAGUAUUCCACGAGAUGGGAUAUUGCAAGUACGCUGCGAAUAAGGAUCGGCUAACUCCGUGCCAGCAGCCGCGGUAAUACGGAGGAUCCGAGCGUUAUCCGGAUUUAUUGGGUUUAAAGGGUGCGCAGGCGGGAAGUUAGGUCGGCGGUGAAAUUUCGGGGCUCAACCCCGAGAGUGCCGUUGAAACCGGUUUUCUUGAGUGCGGAUGAGGUAGGCGGAAUUUGUGGUGUAGCGGUGAAAUGCGUAGAUAUCACAAGGAACACCGAUUGCGGAGGCAGCUUACUAAACCGUUACUGACGCUCAUGCACGAAGGCGUGAGAUCAAA
rnacentral:rRNA from 1 species